GUUGUCCUCCAACCUCCCCUGGGCACUGGGCCUGCGGGCCUGGUUGCUAGGCGGAAGCUGGGCGCGGCGGCGGCCGCUGCGGCCGCCCGGGCGUUUGAAAAGCGGCUACGCAGGCGGCAAAAGGUCCUCGGGUGGCGGGCUUGUCUCUGCUUGCAGACUGGCAGGGCUGCAGCGUGGCUUUUUCCUUGAGUCGGGGCACAGUUAGGAUCUGGGCUGGCGGCCCGAGGCAGAGGAGCCGGGCGCGCUGCAGCAGACGGCGGUGGGACCUGGCUGCGGAGCGGGGUCCGGGCAUCAGGGACCGGGGGCGGGCAGUGGGGGUCCCGCCGGGGGUCCCGGAUUACCCGCGACUCAACUGGACCUCACUUCCCCCCAGCCGCCUUCGCCCCCGGACCGCUCACCGCAACCAUGGUCUCCAAAUCCGACCAAUUGCUCAUCGUCGUGUCCAUCCUAGAAGGUCGGCAUUUCCCCAAACGUCCAAAGCAUAUGCUUGUAGUGGAAGCAAAGUUUGAUGGAGAACAGUUGGCUACUGAUCCUGUGGACCACACUGACCAGCCAGAAUUUGCUACUGAGUUAGCUUGGGAAAUUGACAGGAAAGCGCUUCAUCAGCACAGGCUACAGCGUACUCCUAUCAAACUCCAAUGUUUUGCCUUGGAUCCUGUAACUUCAGCCAAGGAAACCAUAGGUUACAUCGUUCUGGAUUUAAGAACCGCUCAAGAAACAAAGCAGGCACCAAAAUGGUACCAGUUGCUGAGUAAUAAAUACACCAAAUUCAAGUCUGAGAUACAGAUAAGUAUUGCUUUGGAAACCGAUACAAAGCCACCAGUGGAUAGCUUUAAAGCAAAGGGGGCUCCCCCUCGAGAUGGAAAAGUACCUGCCAUCCUGGCUGGACUUGACCCCAGGGACAUUGUGGCUGUGCUGAAUGAAGAGGGAGGCUACCAUCAGAUUGGACCAGCAGAAUACUGUACUGACUCCUUUAUUAUGUCAGUGACCAUAGCAUUUGCUACCCAGUUGGAACAGUUAAUUCCAUGUACCAUGAAACUUCCAGAAAGACAGCCUGAGUUUUUCUUUUACUACUCUUUACUGGGAAAUGAUGUUACAAAUGAACCCUUCAAUGAUUUAAUCAACCCAAACUUUGAGCCAGAGAGAGCAUCAGUUCGCAUCCGUAGCAGUGUAGAAAUUCUUCGUGUUUACCUGGCUCUUCAGUCUAAACUGCAGAUUCACCUCUGCUGUGGAGACCAGUCACUUGGAAGUACAGAAAUACCUUUAACUGGAUUACUUAAAAAGGGCAGUACAGAAAUCAACCAGCACCCAGUCACAGUCGAAGGUGCUUUUACCCUUGACCCUCCAAACAGAGCCAAACAGAAGCUUGCACCUAUUCCUGUGGAGCUAGCCCCAACUGUGGGAGUGUCUGUGGCUCUGCAGAGAGAAGGCAUAGACUCCCAGGAUGCAUUUUGGUAUUCAGCUCUGGAUAUCAUAUUUCCUCUGUUCAUCUUCCUUUUUCUGGUCCUAGAUGCUAUAAGGAAAUUUGCAAAUUACGAAGAAAAAUAGACUAGGAAUAUCCAAACUGGGAAAGGAAGCUUAUAUUUUUAAAAAACAAUGCCAAGUUUUUUGCUUAAUUAUGAAGGAAAGUUCUUUGCAAAUUAUACUUUAUUUAAAAAUUGUUUUUAGUCUUUAAUUGAAUUAAAGACCCAGAAUGAACAUGAGCCAGAGCAUUCAAAGAAGAAAGUUUUAACCCCCAUAAAGGAGAAGACACUUACUGGGCCAAAAUCACCAACAGUGUCCCCUGUUCCAUCUCACAACCAGUCACCUCCAACAAAAGAUGAUGCAACAGAAAGUGAAGUGGAAAGUUUACAGUAUGAUAAGGACACCAAACCAAAUCCAAAAGCCAGUUCUUCUGUACCUGCUUCACUGGCCCAGCUAGUGACUACAUCCAAUGCUUCAGAAGUAGCUUCAGGACAGAAGAUUGCUGUACCAGCAACAUCACAUCAUUUUUGCUUUUCAAUAGACUUAAGGAGUAUACAUGCCUUGGAGAUUGGUUUUCCAAUCAACUGUAUAUUAAGGUGUGAUUUGAUUUUGUUUCAAAGUAUUAUUUUCUGAAGAGAAAGGACUUUCCUGUGUUUGGGGAAUUGCAGAGAGAAAUGUCACCAAAGAAGUUAUAACAUUUGUUAAAUCAGUGGACUAAAAGGGGGUACUCAUAUCCAUUCUUUGGAAGUGCAGCUCCUAUUAUGACUAAUCCUCCUGUAGAAGUUCGGAAAAACAUGGAAGUUUUUCUUCCCCAGUCUUACUGUGCAUUUGAUUUUGCAACUAUGCCUCAUCAGCUGCAAGACACCUUCUUAAGGAUUCCAUUACUGGUUGAACUAUGGCACAAGGAUAAAAUGAGUAAAGAUUUACUUCUGGGAAUUGCGAGAAUCCAGCUUUCUAACAUCUUGUCUUCAGAAAAAACUCGUUUUUUAGGUUCUAAUGGUGAACAGUGUUGGCGUCAAACUUACAGUGAAAGUGUGCCUGUUAUAGCAGCACAAGGAUCAAAUAACAGGAUAGCAGAUCUUUCUUACACAGUGACUCUAGAAGAUUAUGGACUAGUAAAAAUGCGUGAGAUUUUUAUCUCUGAUUCAUCUCAGGGUGUAUCUGCCGUACAGCAAAAGCCGUCUUCUCUUCCUCCAGCACCUUGUCCUUCAGAGAUCCAGACAGAGCCUCGUGAAACGUUAGAAUACAAAGCAGCACUUGAGCUAGAAAUGUGGAAGGAGAUGCAAGAAGAUAUAUUUGAAAAUCAGCUGAAGCAGAAAGAACUGGCUCAUAUGCAGGCUCUUGCAGAGGAAUGGAAGAAAAGGGACCGAGAAAGAGAAUCACUAGUAAAGAAAAAGGUGGCUGAAUAUACUAUUCUAGAAGGAAAACUUCAAAAAACUCUAAUUGACUUGGAGAAGCGAGAGCAGCAGCUUGCUAGUGUGGAAUCAGAGCUUCAAAGAGAAAAAAAGGAACUGCAAUCAGAACGUCAGCGGAACCUGCAAGAACUGCAGGACUCUAUCCGUAGGGCCAAAGAGGACUGUAUUCACCAAGUAGAACUAGAAAGGUUAAAAAUCAAACAGCUCGAAGAGGAUAAACACCGCCUUCAGCAACAGCUUAAUGAUGCUGAAAAUAAGUAUAAGAUUUUGGAAAAAGAGUUCCAACAGUUCAAGGACCAGCAAAACAACAAACCAGAAAUCCGUCUACAGUCUGAAAUAAAUCUUCUCACCUUGGAAAAGGUUGAACUUGAAAGAAAGUUGGAAUCUGCAACUAAGUCUAAACUGCAUUACAAGCAGCAGUGGGGACGAGCUUUGAAAGAACUUGCCAGACUUAAACAGCCAAAGAAGACAGUUUGGUGUAUUUUUGUCCAGAUAUGUUUUUCUUUUUAAAUAACUUUAAAAUGAAAUAUACAUUUCAAAGAAGGUUCUUCUACUCUUUCCACCUGCCUCCUGGUUUAAGAAACAGAGCAUUAUGAUGAAUGCUUUGGAAGCCCUCUGUGUCCCUUUCUCAACUGUGUCUUCUCUUUCCAGAGAGGGAGCAAGAAAGUCAAAUGGCUCGUCUUAAAAAACAGCAGGAAGAAUUGGAACAGAUGAGACUACGUUACCUUGCCGCUGAGGAAAAAGAUACAGUAAAAACCGAGCGACAAGAAUUGUUGGAUAUAAGAAAUGAAUUGAACAGGUUAAGGCAACAAGAGCAAAAACAAUACCAGGAUUCCACAGAGAUUGCAAGUGGAAAAAAGGAUGGCCCCCAUGGCAGUGUAUUGGAAGAAGGUUUGGAUGAUUAUUUGACUCGCCUGAUAGAAGAAAGGGAUACUUUGAUGAGAACGGGUGUGUAUAAUCACGAGGAUCGAAUAAUAAGUGAACUCGACCGACAGAUCAGAGAGAUUUUGGCAAAAAGCAAUGCCAGUAAUUAAUAACAUUUGGAAAAGCUUUAUAGAGACUCUAAGUCUAAAUUUUAAUUUCUUUGUAAAAACCUCAAAAGUGAGGAAAAUGGAUGUUUUAAAAUGGUAUUUUCAAUUUUUUAUAAGCAAAAUUUUGUAUGUUAUUGUAUAGUAUUUAUUUGAUCUUAUUUACUUUAUGCUACCUCUCCCACACUGGUUUUAUUUGUAAUUUGCAUUUAUAUACUCAUUUUAAAUGACUUUUCAGUGUUUUUCAUAGUUUAUAAUCUGAUGGCUAACUAACUUUCAAAACAGCUUUUAACUAAGUUUGUUGUAGGAGAAAUGACUGCGGUAAUUUCCAGUUCUAUAAUGUUUCAUGUUGAGCCAAAAGAGUAUAUCUUGCACUUUAAAAACGCUGCGUCCUAUUCCAUUUGAAUGUAAAUUCUUAAAAGUUGAGACCAAUUGUAACCAGUUUAACUCAUUUUAGAUGACCUUUUUUUCUUAUAAUAUUUGCAAGUGACAAGUUUGAAAACAAAGCAAGAUCAGUGCAGAGAAGCCACAUGACAUGUUGGGUGACAGAUUGGUCAUUUAUUUAAAUAAAGUUAAUACAGAUUAAAUUUGUUUCAAGAGCUAUUGAAUUUUCAAAUUUUCAGUGUAUUUAUAACUUUUAAGAACAUGAAGUAUUAGCUUAAUAUAGUUUUCUCUGUUGGUUUCUUCCUCAAGUUUGCAUUGUUUUCUUUUGUUAAAAUUAGAGAUUUCUUUUUAUUUUCCAGUUAUAGUAAUACUAGCUGUCAGCUUAAACCCUCUGUAAUAGAACAUGGAAACAGACACAUAAAGACAUUAGCUGAAAAAAUAGAGUGAAAAUCAACUAUUUUUUACUCCCGCUAAUUUCAAUCAAUCGUUUUCAAAAGCGCACGAGAUUCACUCAUUGGAUUUAUGCAGUGCCCUGUCUGUAUAAAAACUCUUAAGAGUUCCUUUAUAUCAUAUUCUUCAGAGCCAACAUUUGUCCUCAAAGCAACGUUUCCCACCUCCUUUUACUGAGUACUGAAAAAGUUUUAGCAAAGUCACAGAUUAGGUUGAAUUUCAAAAUAUAUGUACUUUAAAAAGUUCUGAUUUCCAAAUAUAAUAAAGUUAAAAUUAAGUAUAUACUUUAGGAAGUUACCAAUAACUUCCAUCAAAGCAGAGUAGGAUAUAUGGUAACAUUAAUUUUCGGUCAUUUCAAAUGAGGUAUAUUUCUUAUUAGGGAAAUUAAAGUCCCUAUAUUUAUUAUAUAUUUUUUCCUUAUUAACAGAGUAUUAAUCUAGUAAAAAAUAACCCAGCAGUAAAUAAUAAAGAAAUUACUGAAUGAGAGGAUAAUGAAUCUGAAUCAUAGCAGGAAUUUGCAAUAUUAAUUAUGGUUAGCUAUUUUUCUCUCAUUGAUUUUUGUGCCACUUGAAUGGAACAGAAGCAAGCCUUAUGUUUUGGAAGGUCUGCGGUAAAAUGCUGUGACUGUUUACUUUCAAUUGCAUUGUGUGUUGCCUGUGACUGCUUUCAAACGCUAGAGGGGGCCUCUGAUUUAAAGAAAUAAAAAGGACUUUUCUAAAAUGGAUGUGUAGUUUAUUUUGCCUUUUGUAAAGCUCUUUUGGCUAUUGUAACUUAACAAAUAAAAUCAUAAUUGUGUGCA